ACACGCGCGCGCACACACACAUACGCAUGUACACGCGCACCCGCACCCGCGCGCCUGUAUCCCGUGCUGUUUCCCUGGCAGACACACAGGCGCUCACGAGUCUCUCCUUGCCAGCCUGCAGAGCAGCGACCCCCAAAACCAGCUCCGGGUCCCAACCUAGGCAAGAAGCUGCUUCUCUGCAAACAGCUCCUCUUCGGCCUCCGUCACAGCCACCUGGACCCUACCCUUUGGCGACUGCUGCUGCUCCUGCCGGGACGUGGAAGCAGCAAGAGGCGCUUGGUCAAGACACACUGACGAAUUCGGCGAGGCAGCAUUGGUGUAUGGAAUUACAUAAGCCCUAAACUGGGCGGGAUUGGAUUCGCAAGUUGUGUAGUGUGCUAUUUUGUGGCUCUCUACUACAACGUCAUCAUUGGCUGGAGUUUGUUUUAUUUUUCUCAGUCUUUUCAGCAACCCCUACCUUGGGAUCAGUGUCCUUUGGUGAAAAAUGCUUCACACACUUUUGUAGAACCAGAAUGUGAACAAAGUUCUGCCACCACCUAUUA
rnacentral:sRNA from 1 species